GUCUCCCCCUUCACUUUGCCGCUUGGAUGCUUCUUGUCUCCAUUGGCUAUUCAAGUGGGAUAAAGAAUAUCCUUUUAAAACCCAACCAGAUUAUACUUAAUUGACUUGGAUCCUGUCGGAGGAAACAGGA